CAUUGACCUAACAUCAGGUAGGGAUACCCCCUGAACUUAAGCAUAUCAAUAAGCGGAGGAA
rnacentral:rRNA from 1 species